AUUAAACGCUGGCGGCAUGCCUUACACAUGCAAGUCGAACGGCAGCACGGGGGCAACCCUGGUGGCGAGUGGCGAACGGGUGAAUAAAGCAUCGGAACGUGCCCUGGAGUGGGGGAUAACGUAGCGAAAGUUACGCUAAUACCGCAUAUUCUGUGAGCAGGAAAGCAGGGGAUCGGCAAGACCUUGCGCUCUGGGAGCGGCCGAUGUCGGAUUAGCUAGUUGGUGGGGUAAGGCCUACCAAGGCGACGAUCCGUAGCGGGUCUGAGAGGAUGAUCCGCCACACUGGGACUGAGACACGGCCCAGACUCCUACGGGAGGCAGCAGUGGGGGAAUUUUGGACAAUGGGCGAAAGCCUGAUCCAGCCAUGCCGCGUGAGUGAAGAAGGCCUCGG
rnacentral:rRNA from 1 species